rnacentral:lncRNA from 1 species
UUGGGGUUCAAGAAAAGCAAAAAAAAAAAAUCAAAAUCAAAAAGUUUUAGGGUUCAAGAAAAGCAAAAAAAAAAUCAAAAAGUUCUGGGGUUCAAGAAAAGCAAAAAAGAUAAUAAUUCCCAGCGGAGCGCAAAUUAUUCGUUUGUUCUUUGUAUUCAACCACUCUUCACUCUGAUCAUCUGAAAGCCGAGGUUGUUCAUAUCGACAGGUUCACAGUGGAUUGAAUAGGGGCAGCUGUAACACCUCAAAAUUUGCCCUCCUCUUCUUGGGACACUCUUCACUCUGAUCAUCUGAAAGCCGAGGUUGUUCAUAUCGACAGGUUCACAGUGGAUUGAAUAGGGGCAGCUGUAACACCUCAAAAUUUGCCCUCCUCUUCUUGGGACUAGUUUGACACAUUGUAUUUCAUUUUAGGACAUUAGGCAUUGCAUUUUGCAUAUC